AGUGAACGCUGGCGGUAGGCCUAACACAUGCAAGUCGAACGGCAGCACAGUAAGAGCUUGCUCUUACGGGUGGCGAGUGGCGGACGGGUGAGGAAUACAUCGGAAUCUACUUUUUCGUGGGGGAUAACGUAGGGAAACUUACGCUAAUACCGCAUACGACCUACGGGUGAAAGCAGGGGAUCUUCGGACCUUGCGCGAUUGAAUGAGCCGAUGUCGGAUUAGCUAGUUGGCGGGGUAAAGGCCCACCAAGGCGACGAUCCGUAGCUGGUCUGAGAGGAUGAUCAGCCACACUGGAACUGAGACACGGUCCAGACUCCUACGGGAGGCAGCAGUGGGGAAUAUUGGACAAUGGGCGCAAGCCUGAUCCAGCCAUACCGCGUGGGUGAAGAAGGCCUUCGGGUUGUAAAGCCCUUUUGUUGGGAAAGAAAAGCAGAGGUUAAUACCCCGCUGUUCUGACGGUACCCAAAGAAUAAGCACCGGCUAACUUCGUG
rnacentral:rRNA from 1 species